GAAAUGCGAUAAGUAGUGUGAAUUGCAGAAUUCAGUGAAUCAUCGAAUCUUUGAACGCACAUUGCGCCCCUUGGUAUUCCAUGGGGCAUGCCUGUUCGAGCGUCAUCUACACCCUCAAGCUCUGCUUGGUGUUGGGCGUCUGUCCCGCCCCCGCGCGUGGACUCGCCCCAAAUCCAUUGGCAGCGUUCCUUGCCCCCUCUCGCGCAGCACAUUGCGCUUCUCGAGGGCGGCUCCGGGACGCGAUCCAGCAAGAUGACCACCGUCUUUGACCUCGGAUCAGGUAGGGAUACCCGCUGAACUUAAGC
rnacentral:misc_RNA from 1 species